rnacentral:rRNA from 1 species
UACGUAGGGGGCAAGCGUUGUCCGGAUUUAUUGGGCGUAAAGAGCGUGUAGGCGGCCAUACAGGUCCGUUGUGAAAACUGGAGGCUCAACCUCCAGCUGUCGACGGAAACCGUGUGGCUAGAGUCCGGAAGAGGAGAGUGGAAUUCCUGGUGUAGCGGUGAAAUGCGCAGAUAUCAGGAAGAACACCCGUGGCGAAGGCGGCUCUCUGGGACGGUACUGACGCUGAGACGCGAAAGCGUGGGGAGCGAACAGG